rnacentral:tRNA from 1 species
UCCCUGGUGGCUCAGACGGUAAAGCGUCUGCCUAUAAUGCGGGAGACCCAGGUUCAAUCCCUGGGUCGGGAA